rnacentral:rRNA from 1 species
GAUGAACGCUGGCGGCGUGCCUAAUACAUGCAAGUCGAGCGAACAGACGAGGAGCUUGCUCCUCUGACGUUAGCGGCGGACGGGUGAGUAACACGUGGAUAACCUACCUAUAAGACUGGGAUAACUUCGGGAAACCGGAGCUAAUACCGGAUAAUAUAUUGAACCGCAUGGAUCAAUAGUGAAAGACGGUUUUGCUGUCACUUAUAGAUGGAUCCGCGCCGCAUUAGCUAGUUGGUAAGGUAACGGCUUACCAAGGCAACGAUGCGUAGCCGACCUGAGAGGAUGAUCCGCCACACUGGAACUGAGACACGGUCCAGACUCCUACGGGAGGCAGCAGUAGGGAAUCUUCCGCAAUGGGCGAAAGCUUGACGGAGCAACGCCGCGUGAGUGAUGAAGGUCUUCGGAUCGUAAAACUCUGUUAUUAGGGAAGAACAAAUGUGUAAUUAACUAUGCACGUCUUGACGGUACCUAAUCAGAAAGCCACGGCUAACUACGUG